AGAUGAAUUAUCGAACACUGAGUUCUUGACAAAACAGAGGGAGGGUGAGAGGCACAUACCUAACAAACCGGCAGGCAGGGCGAGGCCGAGCCACAUUCCCAUGUCAGAGGAAGAAAAGAAACAAAGAUGCUGCUGCAGAGUUGUCAAACCGAUGAUGUGGCCUUUAUUGAGAUCCAGUCCAAGGUAGGAAAACUCAAUCAGCAACAUACAGUACAGGUGCAGAUCAUGUGCCGCCUCGGAUUGUGACAAAGAAGGGCUGAAAUGAAGUUGUUGUUUUUUGCGCACUAAUAAAAUAUUUCCAAGGGUCUGACCUCUGAGGCCAGAUUUGGUUUUGAGCUGCAUGUUUAAAACAUAGCAAAGGGACGCAUGAGCUGUUUUUCAUGAACACCUGUAACACAAGAUCAAGGCUGCUGCCCCACAGGAGCUUUGGCGCCUCCUGGUGGGCACACGGAGACUGAGGUGUCGAGAUCUGCCAGUUUUCACUUUCAACUCACUCUGUUCAGGAUUUUCUUUAAAACCACAGAUGCUGCAGAUGUUUUUUGCGUGUAAAAAAUGGAUAUCUGAUAUAGGAAUUACAGUACUGAGGAGAGCUUUUUACAUGGAGAUCAAAGCUUCAACAGUCGCUGUCUGAAACACAGUUUAGGCAUCAGCACGGACACGGCGAUGAAGACGAUGAGGAUGAACUCACACAUAAACAGAAGUCCAAAGCAAAAUCUGAUAAUCGUUUAGGGAAACAUAUUAAUCAUGCAGGCAGCACCAGGAAUACAGUCUGUAGCUCGUCUGUAAUGCAUGUGAGUGAAUCCACUUGUUUCCAUUUCGCUUUUUUGUACAGGUUCAGUUCAGUUAUUACAAAGAGCCUUCUUUCUAAUAUAACAACUAAGCAAAUAUAAC
ensembl:lncRNA